CAGACGCGGGGUGAGCGUUCAUCUUGCCAUGCUCUUCCAAGUGACAGAGACUCCCUCUACCCGCAGACCCAGGCUGGGGACCCAACUGCGGGUGGGUAGUUGUCAAGGGCCCCUGUCCCCGCCGCUCCAGGUUGAGGGGCACCUCUCUCUAAAUGUCCCGAUCCUUGAACUUGCUGGUUAAUCUGAGUUCUAGAUGAGUGGAGAAGAAUAAGCCUGGAUUUCCAGAAUCAGGAUGGAGGGACGUGGGACAGAGAGCAAAGGAGCAGAUGGAACCCUGAGAACAGGGCUGUACCCUGUCAGUGUGUACUCAAGAGACAAAACCACAUCAGUGGCGCACGACUGUCAUCCCAGCCGCUCGAAAGCUGAGCAGGGACUUAAUGGCGUCAACGUACAUAGAGGAUCGUCAUCUGAACACGGAGUUAUGAACCAGGGAACUGGACUGAGGCAGAGUGCCAAAGAAUUGCCCACGUAGCAACUUUAGGAAGCAGUAACCAUGCCCAGGAGAUGGGAACCAUGGGAAGAGGUUGUUAAGAUCACCUCUUGGCAGAGAAGAGGGCUCUCAGACAGGAGCAAAGCACCUGCCAGACUCGGGUGAAUCCUGCAGACGCUACGCUGAGGCAUCCUGUGGUGGAGUCCACCUGUCCCACGGUUCCAUUCAUUUGCAAGUCCAGACGGGGAACCUACAGAGGCAGCAGACCCAUGGCUAUCUUGGGCUGGGAGGUGGGGAUAGGGCAUCGGGGGUGCAGGAGGGGACAGUUAAGAGAUAUGGGGCUUCUUUUCAAUAAUUGUGGUAAAAUAUACCCAACAUACUGGGUGUAAAACAUGUAAUCCCAGCAGUUUGAGAGGCUGAGGCAGGAGGAUCGUGAGUUCAAGGCCAGCCUCAGUAACUUAGGGAGGUGCUAAGCAACUUAGUGAGAACCUAAGUAACUUGGCAAGACCCUGUCUCAAAAUAAAAAAUAAAAAAGGGCUGGGUGUGUGGUUCUGUGGUUAGUACCCCUGAGUUCAAUCCCUAGUACCAAAAAAAAUAUAUCUCCAACAUUAACGUUACCAUUUCAACCAUUUUCAAGCAUACGGAUCCCUCCGGGGCAGGAAGAACAUUCAUGCUGUUGCGCUGCCGUCACUACAUCCAUCUCCAGAACUUUUUCAUCUUGCAAAACUGAAUCUCUGCACUCAUUAAACAUUAACUCCACAGCCCAGCCCUUGUCCGCCGCCACUCCACUUCCUGCCUCUGUGAGCCUGGUAUUCCAGGUGCUUCAUGUGCCACAUCCUGUGUGUCCUUUUAUCCCUUGACGGACAUGGGUUGCUUCCACCUUUUGGUUAUUGUCAACAAUGCUGCUAUGAACACCGACGUACAAAUAUCCAUUCAAGACCCUGUUUCUGGCUUUUUAGUGCAUACGCCCAGAAUCCCUUGACAGGUGAGGGUC